GAAUGCUGACAUAAGUAACGAUAAAGCGGGUGAAAAGCCCGCUCGCCGGAAGACCAAGGGUUCCUGUCCAACGUUAAUCGGGGCAGGGUGAGUCGACCCCUAAGGCGAGGCCGAAAGGCGUAGUCGAUGGGAAACGGGUUAAUAUUCCCGUACUUGGUGUUACUGCGAAGGGGGGACGGAGAAGGCUAUGUUGGCCGGGCGACGGUUGUCCCGGUUUAAGCGUGUAGGUGUGUGUUCCAGGUAAAUCCGGUUCACUUUAACACUGAGGCGUGACGACGAGGCACUACGGUGCUGAAGCAACAAAUGCCCUGCUUCCAGGAAAAGCCUCUAAGCAUCAGGUAACACGAAAUCGUACCCCAAACCGACACAGGUGGUCAGGUAGAGAAUACCAAGGCGCUUGAGAGAACUCGGGUGAAGGAACUAGG
rnacentral:rRNA from 2 species